rnacentral:rRNA from 1 species
AACGAACGCUGGCGGCAUGCCUAACACAUGCAAGUCGAACGGGACCUCCGUGUCUGGUUGCGCUCGGGUGCGGAACGCGUGGGAAGCUGCCCGUAGGUUCCGAAUAAUUCCCCUAAGGGGGUGCUAAUGCCGGGUAAUGUCUUCGAACAACAGAUUUAUCGCCUUUGGGUGGGCCGAGGUUGGUUGAGCUUGUUGGGGGUGUAAAAGCCGAUCAAGGCGUCGAUCGGUAGCUGGUCUCAGAGGCUGAUCAGCCACGCUGGGACGGAGACACGGGCCAGACUCCUACGGUAGGCAGCAGUGGGGAAUAUUAGGCAAUGGGGGAGAGCCGGAUCCAGCCAUACCGCGUGGGUGAAGAAGGCGCUCGGGUUGUAAAGCCCUGUUGUUGGGAGAGAAGAGCAGCAGUUUAACACGCCGCUGUACUGACGGUACCGGAAGAAUAAGCUCCGGCUAACUUCGUG